GAGAGGGCCUGCCCAGUAGGAUUCACUCAAUAGAUACUUGUGGAAAGAAGGAAUUGGUGUCAAAAAAGACUGAGAAAACUGGGCCAAUUUUACGGCUGAAGGAAGUUUCAGAUUUUACAAUCUGUAUUAUGAAAGCUUGAAAAUACAUUCUGGUUACUGAGGACUGAAUUCCCCAUGGGACAACACAUGUAGGAGACACCUGACACCACUGAAGUUUCUCUCAGAACAGACGGUCAUCAGAGGACAAAAGAAAUUCGUGACCAUAUUUUCUGGCGUCACCUAUAAAAUACUGAACUUGCA